rnacentral:rRNA from 1 species
AGGACGAACGCUGGCGGCGCGCUUAACACAUGCAAGUCGAGCGAGAACCAGGCCUUCGGGCCUGGGGAAAGCGGCGAACGGGUGAGUAACACGUGGGUAACCCACCCUUGGUACCGGGAUAGCCCGAGGAAACUCGGAUUAAUACCGGAUGGCCCAACAGCUUUUCGGGGCGGUUGGGAAAGGUAGCUUCGGCCUCCGACCAAGGACGGGCCCGCGGCGGAUUAGCUUGUUGGUGAGGUAACGGCUCACCAAGGCUUCGAUCCGUAGCUGGUCUGAGAGGACGAUCAGCCACACUGGGACUGAGACACGGCCCAGACUCCUACGGGAGGCAGCAGUGGGGAAUCUUGCGCAAUGGGCGAAAGCCUGACGCAGCGACGCCGCGUGGGGGAAGAAGGCUUUCGGGUUGUAAACCCCUUUCAGGAAGGACGAAGCCACUCGGGUUAAUAGCCCAGAGGGUGACGGUACUUCCAGAAGAAGCCCCGGCUAACUACGUGCCAGCAGCCGC